UACAGAGGUCUCAAGCGUUGUUUCGGAUUCAUUGGGCGUAAAGGGUGCGUAGGUGGCGCCGUAAGUCGGGUGUGAAAAUUUCGGAGCUUAACUCCGAAACUGCAUUCGAUACUGCGGUGCUUGAGGACUGGAGAGGAGACUGGAAUUCAUGGUGUAGCAGUGAAAUGCGUAGAGAUCAUGAGGAAGACCAGUGGCGAAGGCGGGUCUCUGGACAGUUCCUGACACUGAGGCACGAAGGCCAGGGGAGCAAACGGG
rnacentral:rRNA from 1 species